UUCUCAGUAUUAAUUUUGGACUCAGAUUCUUCUAUUGGGUUAGCCUCAGUACUAACUUCUUUUUCUAAAUUUUCAUUUUGGCUAGCAUCAGUACUAGCCUCUCUCACCUGGUCUGAAUAUGGGUCCUUAAGAAUCUUAUUACUUCUAAGCUCAAAAAUUAUAUUAUCAUUUUCAAAUUGAGAAUUUUUAGGUGGGAUAUUAGAUUGAUAACUAGGUCCAGGUGGUUGGUGGAUGGGUGGGUCAUUUUCAAAAUUCAGUAUUGGUUUGUUUGGCAAUUGACCUAGUUCUCUCCUCAUGGUAGAUUCAGUUAAUUGAUCUAUUUGUGCUUCUAGCCUAGCGA
rnacentral:lncRNA from 1 species